CCACUGCUUAUUCAGUGGUAGACUCAGUGGAAGACAAAACUUACCUUGUACUCGCUGUGAGCUCCCACACAUUAAGGGUCCACUAGAAUUCUGUGAUCAUGAGAUAUGAAUGCUAUAUGAAAAUGGCAUGUUAAGGAACAGCAGAGGAGAUGCAUAUUGUGUGUAUCUCCACUGUUCAUGCGCAUGCACCAUUGGACUUCAUUUACAGAACAUGAGUUCAAAGAUAAGAUGAUUAAGAAUUUUAAAACAGCAACAGCAAACAUUAAACCCCAAUUGUGGGGCCCUUCUGAACAAAGAUCACACACCCUGAAGCUGGUCCUAUGGGUGGAGAAUGGAGCAUGAACAUUUUGGCUCAGCUCAUCAUGAAGAAUGUCCAUGUGACUUUGGUUAAUAAAAUGUGAGGAAUCCAAAGUUCAAGAAAAGUUCAAAUAACCCACUCACAGUUGCACAGCUAGAGGGAGAGCUGGGAUAGAUCUAUAAAGCUGCAACUCCUGUGCACACAGAAAUAUGAAGCCACUUUCACCCUCUGGAAUCCUUCAGAUUCCUUCAACUUCCAGCUAAUGGAGAAACAGGUUCUUCAGGAAGACCCCAGCCUUUGCUGCAUACAAAGAGAGCCCAAAGCCCUAGGCAGUCCUAGUUGGAAAACAGAACUGUAGAUGCUUACUAAUAUGGUAAGCAGAAAUUUUUCAGGGCAGUGCAGUAUACACUGAAUAAGAAAAGGGUGAAACAACAAGGGAAGAGGCAAUUUCCACUCAACUAUAAGAUUAAGAAAUUAGAAGGAAAUUGAUAGACAAUAUGAAAUAGUGUUUGAGACUAUCUCUCUGGAGCCAGGCCAUCAGGAUUGCCAUCCCAGUUCCAUCACUUCAUAUUAAUAGCUGUGUGACUUGGGUCAGUCAUUUGCCCCUUCUGUGACUCAGUUUCUUCAUCUGUAAAUGGGGGUGAUCCUACCUCAUAAGAUUGAUGUGAGGAUUACAUGAAUUAAUGCAUUAUGCUUAGAGCAAUGUCUGAUCCGUGGUAAACACAAUGCAAAUGCUAGUAUUUAUUAUCAUUGUAUUUCUUGAAUUGAAUUUGUUGACUAAAAAUAACUUUUCAA